AAAUUACGCCGGUUUUAUAGAGAUUUAUUUUAUAAUUAAUUAAUAGAUGUUUUUUUUGUUCCAAAUUGAUUAAUUGAUUACCAGUUCAAUGUUGUAAAUGUUAACAAACAGCCAUACAUCAAUGAAACAAUGUAAUUAUUAUGUACAACAUUGUUUAUACGAGGUAUUACCGUCAUUGAUUGUACAAUGAUUAACAGGAAAAGUUGAAAGGUUUAUAAUUUUAUGCAUUCUCUACUCAUUAUCUGGAUCCUCCUAUCGACUCUUGACUUCAAGUCAAUCAGAGAAUUAUUAUUAAAGAUAAGAAAGAAAGAGAAGAGAAGUUGUCUUUCUCGACAGGUUUCAUUUAUUCUGACAUUUGGAGUCGUCUACGUGGAAAAGCUUGUCUUAUUGAAUCAACGUUAUAACAGCUUGUUACAUGAUUUCACAGACCUUACCCAAUUUCAGGUGAUUUUUUGGUGAGUUCUGUAUUUCAAAACGCCAAUCUUUCCAGCAAUUCAACUUCCAAUUAAACAUUUAUCAUAUUUCUAA